UGGCCGCAGCUGACCCCCCGCGGACGCGCCUGAGAGGUCCGGGGCCAGCUCCGGCUCGCGGAGCAGCCCCCUCUCCCGGGCUGGGGGCGCAAGGGUUGCCUGGGCUCUUGGGGCGAGGGAGAAACCCGGGAAGCCCGGUCCAAGAAGGGGUCCUGCGCUGUGAGGUUUUUGGUGGCAGCCUCCUGCGAACGACAGUCGCCUCCCGAGGCGCUGAGGGUAGCUGGGGGCUUCCCCUGGAGGCUUGAGGCCGAGGUCCCGGGAGGCUCAGCAGCAACAGCUGCCUGUGGGCAAGGAGGGGCCGAGGAGGCCUAGGCGCUCCCGAAGGUAUCCAUGGGGCCACCCGUGUCGCCCGCCCUCCUCUUGGGUCCUGACACCCCAUUGCGCCCCCAGUGCAGGGCUCGCGGCCUGGCAAGAAUGUACAGCUGACAGAGAACGAGAUCCGCGGUCUGUGCUUGAAAUCCCGGGAGAUUUUCCUGAGCCAGCCCAUUCUUCUGGAGCUGGAGGCACCCCUCAAGAUCUGCGGUGACAUACACGGCCAGUACUACGACCUUCUGCGACUAUUUGAGUAUGGCGGUUUCCCUCCCGAGAGCAACUACCUCUUUCUGGGGGACUAUGUGGACAGGGGCAAGCAGUCCUUGGAGACCAUCUGCCUGCUGCUGGCGUAUAAGAUCAAGUACCCCGAGAACUUCUUCUUGCUCCGUGGGAACCACGAGUGUGCCAGCAUCAACCGCAUCUAUGGUUUCUACGAUGAGUGCAAGAGACGCUACAACAUCAAACUGUGGAAAACCUUCACUGACUGCUUCAACUGCCUGCCCAUCGCAGCCAUAGUGGACGAAAAGAUCUUCUGCUGCCACGGAGGCCUGUCCCCGGACCUGCAGUCUAUGGAGCAGAUUCGGCGGAUCAUGCGGCCCACAGAUGUGCCUGACCAGGGCCUGCUGUGUGACCUGCUGUGGUCUGACCCUGACAAGGACGUGCAGGGCUGGGGCGAGAACGACCGUGGCGUCUCUUUUACCUUUGGAGCCGAGGUGGUGGCCAAGUUCCUCCACAAGCACGACUUGGACCUCAUCUGCCGAGCACACCAGGUGGUAGAAGAUGGCUAUGAGUUCUUUGCCAAGCGGCAGCUGGUGACACUUUUCUCAGCUCCCAACUACUGUGGCGAGUUUGACAAUGCUGGCGCCAUGAUGAGCGUGGACGAGACCCUCAUGUGCUCCUUCCAGGUGAGUGUGGGGAAGAAAGGGGCCGCUAGGUCCUGUGGCUCAGCCCCAUGAGCCUGACCAACGCUGUCUCUUUUAGAUCCUCAAGCCCGCCGACAAGAACAAGGGGAAGUACGGGCAGUUCAGUGGCCUGAACCCUGGAGGCCGACCCAUCACCCCACCCCGCAAUUCCGCCAAAGCCAAGAAAUAGCCCCCGCGUACCGCCCUGUGCCCCAGAUGAUGGAUUGAUUGUACAGAAAUCAUGCUGCCAUGCUGGGGGGGGGUCACCCCGGCCCCUCAGGCCCACCUGUCACAGGGAACAUGGAGCCUUGGUGUAUUUUUCUUUUUUUUUUUUUUAAUGAAUCAAUAGCAGCAUCCAGUCCCCCAGGGCUGCUUCCUGCCUGCACCUGCGGUGACUGUGAGCAGGAUCCUGGGGCUGAGGCUGCAGCUCAGGGCAACGGCAGGCCAGGUCGUGGGUCUCCAGCCGUGCUUGGCCUCAGGGCUGGCAGCCGGAUCCUGGGGCAACCCAUCUGGUCUCUUGAAUAAA
rnacentral:sRNA from 1 species